UCUACUAAAGGAAAAUAGCCUUCCACUGAUCUUAGGCAUCAAACUCCU
rnacentral:tRNA from 1 species